CUCCAGGGACGCCCUUGCCUCCUGGUUUGCCCCUGUGUCCUGGGACAUCCCUGCCUCCUGGGCCGCCUUCGCUUCCUGGGACAUUUCUACCUACAGCGACGCCCCUGCCUCCAGACGUCUUUUUGCCCUUCUUGCACACCAGACAACUUAACCCUGUUUUGGCUUUGUUCUUUCUGCAAAGAAGAAUGGACUGCAUUAGCUCUUGGCUGAAUGCCCCAGUGUCUCGACCCAUAAGUUGGGAAGGGGACACAGUUCUUUUGAACAUUUCGCUUCGUCUGGCUCACACCUUGGCCACAUUCCAGGGGAGACUUCCAGAAGGUCUUUCUGUGUGCCUGCAGAGAUUGGCACCAAGUAGCCUCUGCCCCUCUUUGCUGUCCAGUCUCCACCACACCCCGUGGGCAGUAGGUGGACAGAGAUGACAUUUCAGGUGGAGGAGUGGGGUCUGUCGUGUGCAUUCUGAGUGCCAGGAAAAUGGUUCAAUCCAGUAACGAGCAGCUGCUGCCCUCCAGGGCCUGGGAAGUGCCGGUGCAAAACCCAGAGGGCCAAAUGCUGUUGCUGCCCUGUAGGCAGUGCCUGUCUCUUGGCUCGCCUUCUCUCUGCUGCUGUUGAAUCUGACCAGUAGUGCCUAUUGUGAUCUCUUUUUAUGUUCUCUUUUUGUUAAAUUCCUGAAAAGGAUGAAGGUGCAAUUUUGUUUCUAUCAGGAAUAUUUGGUACUGAUAAACAUUUCAGGGACAGCAUCUAGUGAUGUGUACAGCUUUGUCUUUAGGGUGAUUGGCAUUUGUGUGCAAU